GUCCAGACUCCUACGGGAGGCAGCAGUGGGGAAUAUUGCACAAUGGGGGAAACCCUGAUGCAGCGACGCCGCGUGAGCGAUGAAGUAUUUCGGUAUGUAAAGCUCUAUCAGCAGGGAAGAAGAUGACGGUACCUGACUAAGAAGCCCUGGCUAACUACGUGCCAGCAGCCGCGGUAAUACGUAGGGGGCAAGCGUUAUCCGGAUUUACUGGGUGUAAAGGGAGCGUAGACGGCAGUGCAAGUCCGGAGUGAAAGCCCGGGGCUCAACCCUGGGACUGCUCUGGAAACUGUAAAGCUGGAGUGCGGGAGGGGCAGGCGGAAUUCCUGGUGUAGCGGUGAAGUGCGUAGAUAUCAGGAGGAACACCGGCGGCGAAGGCGGCCUGCUGGACCGUAACUGACGUUGAGGCUCGAAAGCGUGGGGAGCAAACAGGAUUAGAUACCCCAGUA
rnacentral:rRNA from 1 species